GGCCGCCGAGGCGCCGCAGCCAACGGGCGGCCGAGGGUGCAGCGGCGGGAGCGCCACCGCCAGUGGGGUGGGGGCAAAGCUAUAAAGAAGACCCAGAGAAGUCCUUGGAAUUUUGGAGAAAGAGAAAAUGAUCAUUACCAGAGUUGGCGCAGCUGAAAUAAAUGACUGUCCAAGGCAGUGUUCAUAACAAUGAUCCAGAGAAGUUUCCAACAAGAGUGAACAGCAAUUGUGUCUGACUUAAAGGGACAAUGGUGACUCGUUUGUGAGAUGCAUACGGCAAAGAACAGAGUCAAAAUCCUUAGAUUCCUGCGGGGCUGUGCUCAUUUUACAUCCGUGUGAACUGCUGUCAUCACUACUGUGUCCGAGCCCAGAGGAUGAACUGGAAAAGAAGAGAGGGGGAAAAUAAUAAAAAGAGGAAAUUGGUUUUCACAACACACUCAAAGCCUGAGUAACAGAGGAGAACUUUAAUUAUCUCCAGUCACAAAGAGAGACAGGAAAUUUGGACUUUUAAUUAGCCAUUUGGAGUGCAGUUGGAUAUUUUUUUAGCUAGAUAAUUUAAACGCGAAUAAUUCAAGUCUGACUAAAUGAAAGUCACAUAAUCAGAAUGCAGAUAAUUGAAUUUCUACUGCGUUCAUUAAUUCAGUGUGGAGGUGUGUGUGAAGACUACUAUGAUGAGCUGUCACAGCUCAAUAAAAUCUCAGUCAAUUAAUUUUUUCAUUAUCUUAGUAUUACAUCAACAAAACAGUGAGGGAAACGUCUGUUCAUCAAGGCAAACUUGUGAAUUGCGUCUUCUACCGAGUACUUCGUCUGCCCGGAGACGCAGGCCUCAAUGUCUUCCGAAUUCAAAUGGCUCUGCAGGAA